AACGUAGGAGGCGAGCGUUAUCCGGAUUUAUUGGGCGUAAAGCGCGCGUAGGCGGCUCUAUAAGUCGGGCGUGAAAUCUCCUGGCUCAACUGGGAGGAGUCGUCCGAUACUGUGGAGCUUGAGGGCAAGAGAGGGAGGUGGAAUUCCCGGUGUAGUGGUAAAAUGCGUAGAUAUCGGGAGGAACACCAGUGGCGAAAGCGGCCUCCUGGCUUGCCCCUGACGCUGAGGCGCGAAAGCGUGGGGAGCGAACGGG
rnacentral:rRNA from 1 species